rnacentral:tRNA from 1 species
GGGCCCGUAGCUCAGCCAGGAUAGAGCGCCGGCCUGCGGAGCCGGAGGCCCCGGGUUCAAAUCCCGGCGGGCCCGCCA